GUUUUAGUUUUUAGUGGCGACGCUAGGUGGUGGUGGUUUUUGAAGUGAGUGCAGUAGGAAUGGCGAUGACGCAAGGGGUGCAGAAGAACACGCUGUACGUGGGAGGGUUAGCCGAAGAGGUCAACGAGUCAAUCCUCCACGCCGCCUUCAUCCCCUUCGGCGACAUCAAGGACGUCAAGACGCCACUCGACCAGGCUACGCAGAAGCACCGCUCAUUCGGCUUCGUCACCUUUCUCGAACGCGAAGAUGCCACCGCCGCCAUGGACAACAUGGACGGUGCUGAGCUUUAUGGCCGCGUCCUCACCGUCAACUAUGCCCUCCCCGAACGCAUCAAAGGCGGUGAACAGGGCUGGGCCGCCCAACCUAUUUGGGCGGAUGCCGAUACCUGGUUUGAGCGCCAGCAGCAGGAGGAGGAGAUGCGGCGGAUUGAGGCAGAGAAUCGCGCGGCAAUGCAGGCGGCGGAGGAUUUGCACCGAAAACAAGUGGCUGAACAGCGAGAGGGAGAGAAGGAAGAGGAAAUUGAGAUCAAGGAUGAUCCUAUGGCCAAGGCUGAAGCUGAGGUUCUACGACAAUAGAUUACGGUGAUCUAUCAAAUCGGAUCAACUUGGAAAAAUUCAGAGCAAUGUGAAGAAGCUACAAUGUCAUAAAACUCCAAUUCUUUCUAGAAUUGACCAUCCUUUAUGUAAAUUCAAUGGUUUCUCUCUAGUCUCAGGAGACAAAGACCACAACAACAAGUAUCAAAAUACCAUAUAUUGAAAGAUUACCGCCAUAUACCUCUUGGAUAUUUUUGAACAGAAAUCAGAGAAUGGCUGAUGAUCAGUCAGUUGUUGGAAGAAGACGAAUCUACUAUGAUCAACAUGGAAGUGAAGCACUGAUAUGUAGUGACAGUGAAGAAGAGUUAAUAGAACAUGAGGAAGAAAAACAUGAAUUUUCUGAGGCUGAAAACCAUUUGACUUGAUGCAUUUGUUGUUGAUAGCUCCUUUAUCAUCAUUACAUAACUUGAUGCAUUCUCAGUUAAUAUAAGUCAAUUAUUUUAAAA